GAUGAACGCUGGCGGCGUGCUUAACACAUGCAAGUCGAACGGAAAGGCUCCUGCUUGCAGGGGUACUCGAGUGGCGAACGGGUGAGUAACACGUGGGUGAUCUGCCCUGCACUUCGGGAUAAGCCUGGGAAACUGGGUCUAAUACCGGAUAGGACGAUGGUUUGGAUGCCAUUGUGGAAAGUUUUUUCGGUGUGGGAUGAGCUCGCGGCCUAUCAGCUUGUUGGUGGGGUAAUGGCCUACCAAGGCGUCGACGGGUAGCCGGCCUGAGAGGGUGUACGGCCCCAAUGGGACUGAGGAUCCGGCCCGGCUCCUUCGGGAGGGAGGAGUUGGGGAUAAUUGCCCAAGGGGGGAAGCCUUGAGCAGGCGCGGCGGGUGGGGGAUGACGGCCUUCGGGUUGUAAACUCCUUUCGCUAGGGACGAAGCGCAAGUGACGGUACCUGGAGAAGAAGCACCGGCUAACUACGUG
rnacentral:rRNA from 1 species